rnacentral:pre_miRNA from 1 species
CAACUACUCCCUCCGUCCGGAAAUACUCGUCAGAGAAAUUGAUAAAAAUGGAUGCAUCUAGAACUAAAAUACGUCUAGAUACAUUUAUUUCUCCGACAAGUAUUUCCGGACGGAGGGAGUACAAA